rnacentral:lncRNA from 1 species
AGAAAACUAUUUUUCCUUUUUAAAACCGUAAAUCCUUUAUUCAUUUCCAGAAAUUCAGAUUACACAAUUGUAAUAACAAACUGAACCAAUAACUGUCUAAGUUAAAUAAUCCGAAAUAAUGAAAGUAACAGCAAAACUGAACAAGCCGGGUCGGAAGCUCUAUCGACUGCUACGAACGUGUCUCACGUCUCGUCUCACAUCUCACCACCUGCAAUACCUGAAAAAU